rnacentral:snRNA from 1 species
CUCGCUUCUUCGGCUUAUUAGCUAAGAUCAAAGUGUAGUAUCUGUUCUUAUCGUAAAUUUAUUUAAGGUUUUCAACUAUAAAAACAUAAAUGUUUUCAAAUCAAA